rnacentral:rRNA from 1 species
AACGAACGCUGGCGGCAUGCCUAACACAUGCAAGUCGAACGAGACCUUCGGGUCUAGUGGCGCACGGGUGCGUAACGCGUGGGAACCUGCCCUUAGGUUCGGAAUAACUCCCCGAAAGGGGUGCUAAUACCGGAUAAUGUCUUCGGACCAAAGAUUUAUCGCCUUUGGAUGGGCCCGCGUUGGAUUAGCUAGUUGGUAGGGUAAAAGCCUACCAAGGCGAGGAUCCAUAGCUGGUCUGAGAGGAUGAGCAGCCACACUGGGACUGAGACACGGCCCAGACUCCUACGGGAGGCAGCAGUGGGGAAUAUUGGACAAUGGGCGAGAGCCUGAUCCAGCAAUGCCGCGUGAGUGAUGAAGGCCUUAGGGUUGUAAAGCUCUUUUACCCGGGAUGAUAAUGACAGUACCGGGAGAAUAAGCUCCGGCUAACUCCGUG